rnacentral:rRNA from 1 species
UACGUAGGUGGCAAGCGUUGUCCGGAUUUAUUGGGUUUAAAGGGUGCGUAGGCGGCCCUAUAAGUCAGUGGUGAAAUACAUCCGCUUAACGGUUGAGGUGCCAUUGAUACUGUAGGGCUUGAGUACAGACGAGGUAGGCGGAAUUGACGGUGUAGCGGUGAAAUGCAUAGAUAUCGUCAAGAACACCGAUAGCGAAGGCAGCUUACUAGACUGUAACUGACGCUGAGGCACGAAAGUGUGGGGAUCAAACAGG